GUGAGCCAAGAUUGCGCCAUUGCACUCCAGCCUGGGCAACAAGAGUGAAACUGUCUCAAAAAAAACAAUUCUCUCCCUGUUGGAGAAACCCAUUUGCAUAAGAAUAAGAGGUUCUUCCUUCAGGCAUCUUUCCAGCCCUGCAUUUAAGCUGUUGUUGUUUUUUUUUCUUUUCUCCACCCCGUCAGAGUUAACUUUUAUGUAAGUUUUUUUUUUUUCCUUUUAGAAGAUGUUUCACCAGGUCAGGACCCCAAUUCCUUUUCCUUGUUGGAGGAGUACUCAAUUCCACAGCUUCACCUUAGCAUUCAGCUUAUGAUAAGGAGUCCAUGCAACCCCCUGAGGCAGGUCUUUUGUCCCAAACUCAAUUCCAAGCUUCGAGUUGAAGCCCAGGGAAAGAAAACUGUAUCUGAGGGAUUCAGAGGCAGACGAUGACGGAAGUUAAAAGGCACAGCGCAGCCUCAAGAUUGUCUUUCCUGACCCCUAGCUCUUGGAUGGUACAGAGGACCCCUGGAGCAUCCAAAAGAGAGGUUUCUGAUAACUUCGGGGAUUGUGACAAUGGAAUUAAAAAAAGUACAGGACUCAUGAAGAACUGAAGUGUUCAUGAAUGUCAAGCAAAGCAAGAAUAAACUGAAUGGACUGACCUAACAGAAAACUGAAGUAAUAUUUUUUGGCUUUUGCUUGGAACAUUGCUGAUCCUUGUUUUGUUUUUCAGAGUCAAGGAUAUGUAUUUUGAGCUAUUUAUGGGCUUUAAUAAUUGAGUAAGGUAUACUCCUGUGAACAAAAUUUGGAGCAUAUUUGUUUUUUUCUCUGACUGGCUUCUUCAGGAUUUGGAAACUUGUCAUGAGUGUUCUUGACUUAAGGCAGUAUAGUUGUUUGCAUCAGUGCAAUAACAAUCCAUUUCCUUUUGCAACAGGAUGCAAUGGGAGAAACUGGUUGUUUUGCCAAGGCUUUGACUGGAAGGGUAUGCUUCCCUUUAAGGAAUCAAGCUUGACUUGUAGAGCCGAUA